GACGAACGCUGGCGGCGUGCUUAACACAUGCAAGUCGAACGGAAAGGCCAUGCUUUUGUGGGGUGCUCGAGUGGCGAACGGGUGAGUAACACGUGAGUAACCUGCCCUUGACUUUGGGAUAACUUCAGGAAACUGGGGCUAAUACAGGAUAGGAGCUCCUGCUGCAUGGUGGGGGUUGGAAAGUUUCGGCGGUUGGGGAUGGACUCGCGGCUUAUCAGCUUGUUGGUGGGGUAGUGGCUUACCAAGGCUUUGACGGGUAGCCGGCCUGAGAGGGUGACCGGCCACAUUGGGACUGAGAUACGGCCCAGACUCCUACGGGAGGCAGCAGUGGGGAAUAUUGCACAAUGGGCGGAAGCCUGAUGCAGCAACGCCGCGUGCGGGAUGACGGCCUUCGGGUUGUAAACCGCUUUCGCCUGUGACGAAGCGUGAGUGACGGUAAUGGGUAAAGAAGCACCGGCUAACUACGU
rnacentral:rRNA from 1 species